rnacentral:pre_miRNA from 1 species
GUGGAGCUCCGUUUCGGUCCAAUAGUGGCUGCGACGGAAGGUGGUCCCGCUGCCGAAUCACACGUCCGGGUUGCUUAUCGGGGCAGGGCCCCGAUACGGUAUCCGAACGUUUGUCCCGGGAACUGGUCGACCUUCCGCCCGGCGUCUCUUGGACUGAAGGGAGCUCCAC